UCACGUAACUGGGCCUGCACGUGCCCGUGUGAAUAGGGAGCAGAUCGUCCACCUGAUGUUGUUUGCUUAGUUGCAGAAAUUGCGACGAAUGAAUAACAGCAGUGCCGCAAAAUAAGACCAGGAAUUUCUUUCCUUGGACCGACGACAGGGCUGUUACUAGAAACCUCACAUUCAGGUCUGCUGAACGAUUACAUCUCAGCUCUGGCAGAAGCCAGAGAAGGAAAUGAGUCUGUUAAACCGAGCAGCCGCACUGUGACCGACCACAACAUCCUCCCGCUCCUGUGCUCAUUAACAGCCCUCCUUCCUCCCUGCUCUCCUCCAACCUACGUCCAUCACAGUGGGGGUACCGCCUCGCCCCCUCGUGCGCCAACAAAGACCCCACAUCAAAUGGAGUUACGUGGCCUCCAGGAAGUGACAUCACCACAUCACUGGCCUCCACAAGAGGCUUGGUUCACCGGGGACCGACUUCAAACUCUGCUGGGCCCCGUGUUGGAGGGUUGGUUGCUGCAAAACCAGGUGAAGGACCUGCUGUGAUCAUGUAAGGCUUCAUUGAAGUUGGAUCUCCCACCGAGGCACCUGGCAAACGCGGCGGAAGAACAAUGAAGCGUGAGCAAGAUGUUCACAGGCAUUUACUAUGACAAAGGGCAGAGCGCUCCUGCCUGUCUCUCAAGAGCCUGGAAUAGUUCUGAGGUUGCCCAGCAUUCCUCCACGUAUGAUCCAUGGAUUAUCGAAAUUGUUUCUGUAACAUCUGUUUGUCUCUGGCCUUGCAAAUGCAUGUCAGGUAUGUGGGACAGUUGCAGCAGCCCACACGACUGAAACGAUCACGGGACACCUGAAGCAAGGCUCCUGGUGGGUGCAGAAAAAAAGAGCCAGUGACUCACCGCCAUUGCAUCACAUCAGGAGAGUGAGGUGAUGCAACGCAGGGACAAUUGAGAAAGUAACGUGGCACAAUUCAUAGAGAUGUUACACUGGAUGUGUAGAGAUACUGAACGCAGUGCAGGAACAGAUCAGUUGGGUAAGAUGUGAGGCCAAAAAACCAAACAAAGAAAGAUAUGCACUUUAAGGUCAAAAGCAUUUGGUAUUACAAUCAACAAGGAUGUUCCUGUUUUGGGAACGAUGAAGAGAACACUGAAAAAUGCUUGUCUGUUUCUUUAAAGGUUGCUCUUGUUUGUGUAUAUAUAUCUCUUUUUUAAAUAGUUUUUAUUGGUGCAACAACAUCUGUACGUAAGUUGUUGUUGUGUCAGCACAAAUCACCAUUGUUAAUAUUUUUUUCCAUCCGGCCCCCUCCCAAAUGCCCACCAGCUCCUGUGUAUAUUCAGGUUUAGUAGACCCCUGCCUGUGUUAUGGAUCCUCUUUGCCUGUCGACUCUGUGCCUCUGCUGGACAUUAAAAUGAAUUUUGUUUUUUGAACUUAGGGUCCAGUCUGUCUCCAGUCACCCCUUAACAGUUGAGAGUUUUUACCAAAGAAAAAAAAAAAAGCGGACAUUUUGCAAUGCAGCUCCUCAUCUUUUGCAAUGAUGAUUCAACCGGGGGAGAUUCAUGCUCAUCAAAGCUUUGAAAAAAAAACUACCAGACGCCGAACAUUGUCAGCAGGUCCGGCUUUUACUUCAGAAGCCUGUCGAUGGUUGACACACAUUAAAUUCUUGGCAUCUUUAAUAGCGAAAAUAUAGGGCCAAAUGAAGGCAUUAUGCACAUGUACAUAAUCUUGUACACGUGCAACUAUAUUAUACCUUUCAACAAAGGUGUGAAUGGACUACUACAAACGGUGGGUGAUAAAAUCAUCUUGGCUAGUUGCUCAGUCCGUUUACAGUUGAGGGUUGGGUUAAACAGGAAGACCCAGUGAUUCAGGUAGUUUGAAGGAAUUCAGACACACCCACAGGAAGCACCACUGGCCUUGUCUGUAUCACCACCAGUAUUGCCAGGUUGCAAAACUCAAAAUUAUGAGAUUGGCUGCUUUAUAGUUGUCAUGGCUGUUCUAUAUACCUGAAGAUAUAUAGUGUACUUAAGGUGAUAUCAGAUGUCAGUGAAAAUGAAAGCACUACUGCAGCUGAGUGAGAUUGAUACUGAUACCCGUCAGCUCUCUGUUGUGCAUUCCAUUCCUGUAACUUGUUUCCUGAGGCUGCCCUCUGCUGAUAAUGGCAUUUAAUCUACUUCCAAUCAGGAUAUAUACAGAACAGUGUCGAUGACUAGAAAAAAAAAGAGUAACGACAGAUCAGAUAAAGUGAAUAGAGAAAAAAAAUGAAGAUAUAGAGGGUAAAAAAAUGAGAAGGAAACGCUGUGGUUCUCCUUUUUAUUGCCUGACGUAUGUGCAGAUCAUUGACCUCCCUGUGGUUUCAUUUCUUGAAAAACAUAAACCACCCUUUUCUCACCCAUAAACACUGAGGUGUUGGUUAAAAGUUACCCAAACCACAAAUGUUCCUCCUCAUCCUGAAUAGAAUCAUUGGAGAUGCAGAUAGGUCAGGUGCUAUUUUCCUGGAUAUUGCGAUAUAUUUUUAUUUUUU
ensembl:lncRNA